GACAGAGGGUGCAAACGUUGUUCGGAAUUACUGGGCGUAAAGCGCGUGUAGGCGGCUGUGCAAGUCGGAUGUGAAAUCCCGUGGCUCAACCACGGAAGUGCACCCGAAACUGCGCAGCUGGAGUCUCGGAGAGGAAGGUGGAAUGCUUGGUGUAGAGGUGAAAUUCGUAGAUAUCAAGCGGAACACCGGUGGCGAAGGCGGCCUUCUGGACGAUGACUGACGCUGAGACGCGAAGGUCAGGGGAGCAAACGGG
rnacentral:rRNA from 1 species